rnacentral:rRNA from 1 species
AUGGCCGCCGCCGACCGCCUCUCCGCCCUCUCCGACGAACUCCUGCAGCAUCUCCUGGCCUUCGCGUCGGCCAAGGAGGCCGCGGCCAGCGCCGCCCUCUCGCGCCGGUGGCGCCCGCUGUGGCGCCGCGCGAGCGCCCUCAACCUCGACAGCAGGCCCUACUCGCGCCAGCACUCCCACGACGACCGCUUCGACGAGUUCUUCCGCGACGGGAAGGCCGCCCUCCGCGGCCGCCUUGGGACGCCGCCCAAGAGGCUCACGCUCCUCCUGAUGGAAGACGCCUACCUCGUCGGCGACAGCUGGCACUACUACAUGGACGACGACGCGGAGCUGGAGUACGACGCCCGGGUCGCCGGCCUCCUCGCCGACCCCGCCGUGGCCGCGCUCGAGGAGCUCCGCAUCGCCUGCGACCGUUGCUACAGCUUCAUGUAUGUCCCGCCGCUGGCCUCCCUGCCGUGCGCCGCCACCACUCUCCGGGUGCUGGAGAUCCACAACUGCAACCUCGAGCCGCCGUCGACGGAGCCAUCCGCGCGCCUCGCUUUCCCGUGCCUCGCGGAUCUGUCGCUGCGCAGCUGCACUUACCUGCAGGGCUAUCUCCAGACCGUGGUCGAUGCGGCGCCGGCGCUGAACAGGCUUGCGCUGGUGGACGUCACCAAUAAGCCGCCGAAGCCGGCCGGUUCCGGCAAGAGAGAUCGCUACGAGGAAUUCAAGUCUUUCAACCUCUGCCUCCGCUCCCCGACGGUCACCACCUUGGUGCUUGAGACCAAUAAUGACUCCCGGGACGAGCUGGACGACUCCCGCAACAUCGGCAUACAGCUCGACAUGCCAACACUUUGCUCCUUCCGCUACAAGGGGUUCCCCGUCAAGUUCUCGCUGAUAUCGCCGGCGCCGGGGCUGGCACGAGUCGACCUCGACACCUGUCGCCGCGAGAGAAGCUUCUAUAAGUGUGAGCCCGCAGCUCCCAUGCUCGCGAACUUCUCCAGCACGAGGGCACUUAAGCUGCACCUCAUCACCAUCGAGGAGAUCAUCCUCGACCCCAAUUACGAAUCUGGCGACUAUAAUGGUGUCCAAAACCCUGGCGAGGCCACCAUCCUGCCGACCUUCCCGAACCUCAAGCUCCUCGAGAUAGACGGGACGUUCAAAUAUCAGAAUAGCAACACGGCGCUGGCAUUGGCCACGCUGCUCCGCGCCUGCCCGACCAUGUCUGAGCUCCGGCUCAGGCUACACAUGGCGUACGACUACCACUACGAUCGCAAGACCGAGGAACGAGAAGCCGGAGGCCCGUUCGCCCAGUCGGUGGAAAGGUUCAAGAUGCUCGCGUCCAUGUGCACCGAACACCGCGACGACGUGGAGCUCGCCACGGUCUCGGACCUCCCAGGCCCCUUCGCCAACAGUUGCACGUCGUUUGGCUGCCUGAGGACGAGCCUGCGAAAGGUGACCCUGCAGUUCAAGUCAAAGGAGCUCAACUGCUUCCCGGUGCAGCUGGCCAAGUUCCUCGUGGAGAACGCCAUGGUGCUCGAGGAGAUGCACGUUGAGGAUGGAGACCAGUUUUGGCCAGACCACCUCUGGGACAAGCUAGCGAGAUGGAGGGCAGACGCAUUCCGGAGGAGGAACCUGCCGGAGACGGCCGCCGGCUUUCGAGUUUACCAGCAAGCUAAUCAUGUGGAAGAUCUUAUGGUACAUUAUUGA